CACCCAAAUGUCUCCGAGAACUUCAUGUGGUACUCCAAUACCUGAUAAAGACUUAUGUAUGCAAAAUGCAACCUAAACAUGGCUAAAUCCUAGACUAUAUGAUCAAAAUGCACAUGGGUGAAUGGAUAAAACAAUGGAAAUAUGCAAGAUAUCAUGCGCCGAAGAUUACCACCUCCAUUGCAAUCUACUGGAACCGUAUACAUCCAUC
rnacentral:lncRNA from 1 species